AAUGAGAAUCACAGGAUCUUGUUAUUGAUAGCAGCUGUGAGGGUGGAUCAUCUCAAUUUAGACAUAAGUUUUGGUCCUAAAGAUGCAUGAUUCCAGGAAUCCAAACUGGCCAAAAGAAUGGGGAAGGGAUUGGUAUUUCUGUGAAGCUGCUGCUGCUGCUGCUGAUGCAGCCAUGUUGAAGGCUACUUGUCUCGUGCUCGAUGUUCUUCGAGUAGCGAACGCUUAAGGGGUCGUUUGUUCGGAACAAAGUUUGCAAGCUUGGACAUCGACAUCGGAUGGACAUCUUAAACAAAAAAGCUCCAAUCGAGUAUCUCCCUCUUCUAGCUGCUCUUGACGAGUGCUUAGAACUCAAAAGAUGUCUCAAUUGUUGAGCGGAAAGGUAUAAAAUUUUAUUUAUUUAAUUAAUUCAAGAAUUGUUAAAAUUAUUAUUGUCUCGUAUUAUGCAGCUGUUAUUAGUCUCU